ensembl:scaRNA small Cajal body-specific RNA 8
AGGGAGGAGGAUACCUGGGCAGGGCUGGUCAGUGCUCUGCCCGUCGCUAGUCCUCCCUAGAGCAGCCCUGCUCUCUGAUGACCGAGGUGACCUGAGAGAAAUCACAGCGGACAGAUACGGAGCAGACACGU